CUGUAGCUUAACUACAGAACUGCAUUUGAAACUGACCAUCUAGAGUAUGGGAGAGGUAGGUGGAAUUCUUGGUGUAGGGGUAAAAUCCGUAGAGAUCAAGAGGAAUACUCAUUGCGAAGGCGACCUGCUGGAACAUUACUGACGCUGAUGCGCGAAAGCGUGGGGAGCAAACAGGAUUAGAUACCCUGGUAGUCCACGCCCUAAACGAUGAAUGCUAGUUGUUGCCCUGCUUGUCAGGGCAGUAAUGCAGCUAACGCAUUAAGCAUUCCGCCUGGGGAGUACGGUCGCAAGAUUAAAACUCAAAGGAAUAGACGGGGACCCGCACAAGCGGUGGAGCAUGUGGUUUAAUUCGAAGCUACGCGAAGAACCUUACCUAGGCUUGACAUUGAUAGAAUCCGCUAGAGAUAGUGGAGUGCUGGCUUGCCAGAGCUUGAAAACAGGUGCUGCACGGCUGUCGUCAGCUCGUGUCGUGAGAUGUUGGGUUAAGUCCCGCAACGAGCGCAACCCUCGUCCUUAGUUGCUAGCAGCUCGGCUGAGCACUCUAAGGAGACUGCCUUCGUAAGGAGGAGGAAGGUGAGGACGACGUCAAGUCAUCAUGGCCCUUACGCCUAGGGCUACACACGUGCUACAAUGGGACAUACAAAAAGAUGCAAUACCGCGAGGUGGAGCAAAUCUCUAAAAUGUCUCUCAGUUCGGAUUGUAGUCUGCAACUCGACUACAUGAAGCUGGAAUCGCUAGUAAUCGUGAAUCAGCCAUGUCACGGUGAAUACGUUCCCGGGUCUUGUACUCACCGCCCGUCACACCAUGGGAGUUGUAUUCGCCUUAAGUCGGGAUACUAAAUUGGUUACCGCCCACGGCGGAUGCAGCGACUGGGGUGAAGUCGUAACAAGGUAACCGUAGUGAACC
rnacentral:rRNA from 1 species